UCCACCAAUCAUCGGAAAACACCGCUCAUCUUGGUGACGUAAUACACGGCGCAAGAACGCUCUACGGAAUUUGCUCCAAGGUCACGCGCCUCUAGUGGGAGUUUGCAUUUUGUUCCUACAUUUCCUGAGGCAUCAUGACCUGCGUGCACCUGCUGUUGACUUUGGUCUUUGCUGUCAGCUUGGGGACACCUGUAGAAAUUCAAGGGCCCCGUGGAGUGCCACUGACAAAGAAACAGUUUUAUGUGGAGAACAAGCCUUUCACCUGUCUCGAUGGAUCCCGGACUAUUCCUUUUGACCGAGUGAA